AAUUGAGAUUUGAUCAGAAUUAGGUUUAUCUUUGUUGAAUUCCUUGUUCUGCUUUUUGAAAUGUUGAUUUAUGGUUUUAGUGGAGAGAUCAUUGAUUGUAGAAAUGAGUCCUUUUUUGUUAUGAGAUCAUUAAGGAUAGAAGCUUCUUCAAUGAUCUGAUUUGCAUGAUUUUUUGUUCUUAUAUUUACAAUAAUGAUGCCAACUGUGGUAGCAUUGAUGAUGCCUUGAGGCUGUUUGGUAAAAUGCCUAAGAGAAGGUAUUUAUAGCUUUUCCACAGCUUCUGAAGUACUCAAGCUCACGGGCUAAUGUUUGUUUCUUUUGACUUUAAAUAUUGGACAGGUAAAUGACAGUAAGUUCAGGCAAGAGUAUAAAAAAGUGUCAUUUCUUCCCCAUUUGUGGUAAGCUCCAGUAAGAACAUGCAGGGCUGAUGUAUUUUCAGCCCCACAGAUCAAUGUUUCCACUGCAAGGUUCAAUAUUGAAAUGUGAUUAUCAAAAGCAGUGGGCCAUCGUUGAAAGAUUACCCUUGUAGUGAGUCUAGAUGGGAGAGGACAAGGAUCUUUCAGUUAUGACGAACAUGGAUUUGCAAAAGCUGUUCCUAGGCAAGAAGGUAAGAGAAUAAUACACCCAGGUGAACUUGAAUCAUAUGCAUGACAUGUCACAUAUCACAACA